rnacentral:tmRNA from 1 species
GGGGCCGACUGGUUUCGACAGCGGGCAGAAUGGAUAAGUAAGCAGGUCGAGCGUUGAGUGAGUAGCUCGUUAAUCACAACGCUAAACUUUCGCUAAAUGGCGACAAUAACUAUGCGCUUGCGGCGUAACACUCGAUAGAGGUUACACCUAAUCCAUCCCGAAAGAUCGGGAGGACAAGCUAUCUCGCAGGGGUUCCGCUCAAUAAUUCCCUGGCUACGAGGUAUCAGAAUGUUGAGAUAGUGCAUCUUUUGUCUUGCAAGGUGCAUGAAACUUAAAAGGCUAAGCAUUAAGUAGGUUGUAAAAGGCCGGCUUAGUGUCGACAAUCAAGCUUUUACUAAGCCUGUAGAAAGCUUAUUAGUUCCUCGUUUGGACGAGGGUUCGAAUCCCUCCGGCUCCACC